ACAGACAAAUCCCUGAUUGAAAUAAACAAAAAAAAACACCCACUACUCACUCACUUACCUCACACACGCCAAACGCCUCACCACUCCCUCACCACACACCUCACCACGGUCAUCAACGGCGACGGCUGAAGGAGUUCCUAGGCAACGAUCAACGGCGGCACAAGCACGGGCUGAUCUCCUUCUUCGGCAACGAUCAACGGCGGGGUUAGUAAAAGUCAUGUAAAGAAAUUCUUUACACAACUGCAUUGGAGUCAUCAACGGCGACGGCUGAAGGAGUUCCUAGGCAACGAUCAACGACGGCACAAGGAUGGGCUGAUCUCCACCGUCGGCAACGAUCAACGAAGGCAGAAGGACGGGCUGAUCUUCUUCGUUGACAAUGAUCAACGGCGGCACAAGCACAGCGCCCUCAGCCCCUUCAGGAAUACAUGCAACAGUUUAUAAAAUUUUGUUUCCCGUAAGUACUGUGAUGGGUUUUGUUUGGUUUGUGAGAAAAGUGAGGAAAUUUUAAGAAAAUAAUGUUUUUUGUUUUUAGGGUUUAUGUUGGUUUUGAUGAAAUUUGGUGUGUGUUGUUAAUUUUGUGGCGCAUAGGUUGUUGCGGCAUAUGCAAUUAGGCAUGUGGCUGCUGUAGUGAGUAUGGCCAAGGUUGCAAUUUCAUUCCCUCACAUCAUUAAGGGUAGAGAGCUUGCUUUCAGUGUUUUGGUUUCAACGUUUCUUCUGGAUCAGACAUUUCUUUUGCCAGUUUAUAUGUCCCUUGUUCCAAUGAUUUUGGUUGUGCUCUUACUGCUGUGACCAAGCUAAAGUUAAACAUGACUGGUAAUCAGAAUUUUCCUUUAUUUCUGGAAACUGAAACAGCAGUGUAUAUGAUAUAUUCACUUGUUAUCUAGUAAACUUGGUAUAAAUGAUUCUUUUAUAAUUCUUUGUUCCUUGCUUUCAAUUAGAGAUGUGAACUAAAUUAUUAAUUUGGGAAUCAUUUAUCGUUUUUUUCCCCUUUUUAUUUGAUUCUUUAGUUUUGUUUGUUGGUUUCCACAAAACCUUUUUAUUUCCUCAAUUUUGCCAUCUUUCUUUGCAUGAGCUGCAUAUGAUCAUUUGAGUAACAUUAUAAUAACAUUUUUUAAUGGGAACUUUUUACUUGUUUAUAAGUAAUAUGUAUAUUGAAUGGGAACUAGGAAUAGUGUGUUUAAAGUCCUGAACUGUUUUUGCCAUUUUGAUUUUGAUGUAAAGUAAUUUUCAUUGUUUUAAGGGAAUGGAUUUAGGUUAAUAUUGAUUGUAACUAGAUAAGUCCUUUUAUGUAAUAAGUUUGAAGGAUUGGUUUUGUAAAUUCAAUGUAAUGGCUUAAAAAAGGCUAUUAAAUUGGCUUAGGUUGCCACAAGCUAUAACUAAAUCAGAAACAUAAUACAUUUUACUUCUACAAAAUUAGUUCAUUCUUGGUAUGGAGGAUUAAAAUUUGUACAAUGAUAGAUAAAAUCAAUGUUAUCCUUAUCUAAUACACGCUUUGAUUUAGAAAUAGCAUAUUACAACAUGCAUGUUAACUGUUCGAUAAAAUGCCUAUUAAAAUUCUCAGACCUAUUUCAAGCUCAAGUAUUGCAUGUCCCUUAAGAUAAUGACAUUUUCAUUGUUUUAUAUUGCAGAUUUGAGAUUUUUUGGGUGCCUAUAUAACAAGUUAACAAUGGCGGCUUAAUAGUUUAAAAGGGAAGGUAAUCUCUCUUCAUAUCUUCUCGAGGAUUCUUCUUUAUGUAUUUCAAUUAUGUCUUACAUAUGUAUUAAAUAGAGGUUUUGAUUAAAAGCUUUUUGUUUUCAAAAUUAAAUUUCUUAUUAAGGGGUUGAUUUUUAGCUAAAUUGUGAUUGCUUGCUGAGAAAUUGGAUUGUGUCAUGAGAUUUUGUACUCUAUUGGUUUAUUUUUUCUGCUGUACGGCCAAGGCGGAUGUACGGUACAGCAGAUAGAGUGGAUCCAAUGGCUGAGAUUUGUUUAAUUAUUAAAUGAUUAAAAAAAUUUGAAAGAACAAACCUAUAAAAUUGAAAUAAACAAAAAAAAAAACCCCACCACUCAUUCACUUACCUCACACACGCCAAACGCCUCACCACUCCCUCACCACACGCCUCACCACGGCCAUCAACGGCGACGGCUGAAGGAGUUCCUAGGCAACGAUCAACGGCGGCACAAGGACGGGCUGAUCUCCACCGUCGGCAACGAUCAACGAAGGCAGAAGGACGGGCUGAUCUUCUUCGUUGACAAUGAUCAACGGCGGCACAAGCACAGCGCCCUCAGCCCCUUCAGGAAUACAUGCAACAGUUUAUAAAAUUUGAAUCAGUGGAAUUUGCCAUACAUUUGUCAAUAUUAUGCCAUGUACUGAAAUGAUGUAAAGCAUGAGCUUCAAAGUUUACUCUAUUUUUUUUAAUUUUUAAUUGCUUAUUUAUUAAUUGCAUAAUGUGUUUUCAAAUGAGCUUAUGUUUAUUAGAAAAAAAAAGGGCCAGAUUGUUUUUGUGUAUAAAUUAGGGGUGGGCGCGGUUCGGUUCGGUUCGGUUUUUUACUAAAUAUUUCAUAAUCAUUCGAUUACGAUUAUUUUAAAAUCAUAAUCGUGAUUAAUCAAAUUACCGAAAUAAUUAAAUACUCGAUUAAUUAAAAUAAUUCGAUUCGAUUUGGUUCGAUUAUUUCGAUUUGGACCUAUUAGACCUAUUUUGGGCUUUUUUCAAAUUUAAAACCUUAAAUUAUGAUAAAUGAAUUUAAGUUUUUUUUUUAAUUAGAAUAUUAAGAAUCUGC
rnacentral:lncRNA from 1 species